GGGGGUAUAGCUCAGUGGUAGAGUGUUUCACUAUAGGUCAAGUGGUCCUUAGUUCAAAUCUGAGUACCCCCU